GACUGUAUUUUAGUGGUGAGAACUCCACAUUGUGGCCCUGGAGACCUAGGCUCGAAUCCCAGCAGUAACA